rnacentral:misc_RNA from 1 species
UCUCCGUAGGUGAACCUGCGGAGGGAUCAUUAACGAGUUCCCCUUAAACGGGUAGAAUUCCCACCCUAUGUUUCAUUACCUUUGUUGCUUUGGCGGGCCGUCUCGGCCUCGGUCAGGCUACCGGCCCCGGCUGGUAAGCGCCCGCCAGAGGACCUCAAACUCUGAAUAUUAGUGUCGUCUGAGUACUAUAUAAUAGUUAAAACUUUCAACAACGGAUCUCUUGGUUCUG